rnacentral:rRNA from 1 species
GACGAACGCUGGCGGCGUGCUUAACACAUGCAAGUCGAACGGUAAGGCCCUUCGGGGUACACGAGUGGCGAACGGGUGAGUAACACGUGGGUGAUCUGCCCUGCACUUCGGGAUAAGCCUGGGAAACUGGGUCUAAUACCGGAUAGGACCACUGCCUGCAUGGGUGGUGGUGGAAAGCUUUUGCGGUGUGGGAUGGGCCCGCGGCCUAUCAGCUUGUUGGUGGGGUGAUGGCCUACCAAGGCGACGACGGGUAGCCGGCCUGAGAGGGUGACCGGCCACACUGGGACUGAGAUACGGCCCAGACUCCUACGGGAGGCAGCAGUGGGGAAUAUUGCACAAUGGGCGCAAGCCUGAUGCAGCGACGCCGCGUGAGGGAUGACGGCCUUCGGGUUGUAAACCGCUUUCAGCAGGGACGAAAAUGACGGUACCUGCAGAAGAAGCUCCGGCUAACUACGUGCCAGCCGCCGCAGUAA